GACGAACGCUGGCGGCGUGCUUAACACAUGCAAGUCGAACGGAAAGGCCCUGCUUUUGUGCGGUGCUCGAAUGGCGAACGGGUGAGUAACACGUUAGUAACCUGCCCCUGACUUUGGGAUAACUUCAUGAAACUUGGGCUCAUACCGGGUAGGAUCUCCUGCUGCAUGGUGGGGGUUGGAAAGUUUCGGCGGUUGGGGAUGGACUCGCCGCCUAUCAGCUUGUUGGUUGGGUAGUGGCUUACCAAGGCUUUGACGGGUAGCCGGCCUGAGCGGGUGACAGGCCAAAUUAGGACUGAGAUAAGGCCCAGACUCCUACGGGAGGCAGCAGUGGGGAAGAGUGCACAAUGGGCGGAAGCCUAAUGCAGCCAAGCCGCGUGCGGGAUGACGGCAUUCGGGUUGUAAACCGCUUUCGCUUGUGACGAAGAGUGAGUGACGGUAAUGGGUAAAGAAGCACCGGCUAACUACGUG
rnacentral:rRNA from 1 species